GAAUCAGUACGCUGGUCGUGCCUUCGGUAUGUACUGGUGUCACUGGUUUCUCCCUUCUGAAGAACCAUCAUGCCAUUCACUUGGUGUGGUGGGAAAUCAGGACUGUUACUUUGAAAAAAUUAGAGUGUUCAAAGCAGGCGCACGCUUGCAUAGAUUAGCAUGGAAUAAUGGAAUAGGACC
rnacentral:rRNA from 1 species